rnacentral:misc_RNA from 1 species
CCAGGAACGUGGAUCCCAGGAUAGCCGUUAACAUGGACCCGAUCACACCUAAUACCUUUGACAAUGUAUACUUCAAGAACCUCCAGAAUGGAAAGGGACUCUUCACUGCAGACCAAGUCCUCUUUACAGACCCAAGGUCCAGGCCCACUGUUAAUGCAUGGGCUAGCAACUCCCCAGCCUUUGAAAGAGCCUUUGUUGCCGCCAUGAAGAAAUUGGGCCGGGUCGGAGUCAAGACAGGCAAAAAGGGAAAUAUCCGUCAAGAUUGUGCUGUUUUAAAUUAAAAUAAAAGUCAAGAAAAUAAGAGAGGGAAAAUAUUUUAUUUGUAAAUUGAAUAAAAUGUGAGAAUAAAUGAUGUGAAAGGAAAGUGAAGAGGGGAUGAUGUUGGGAUUGACUUGAAUUUUUGAGUGGCUUCUUAAUCUUAACAGGGUUGU